AAACUUACCUUGUUGGAAGACUCUCGCGAUCAAGAUCUCAGGGAUUCCAUGGUGAGGACUCUACAUUGCACCAUAGCAACGGUUAACCCAUUUGGCGGCUUCGAAUUGAAGUCAGCCAAGGUUAAAUUAUUGCGUGUGGGGCUGCGUUCGCGCGGCCCCGA
rnacentral:snRNA from 15 species